CGCUGUACACUGUCAGUCCAUUAUAGCAAAGUGCAAUGCUCCAGCACGUACGCCUUAACCCGGUUUCGGUGUAAUCAGUGUCAUCGACGUGACAAGUAGGCCAUCGUGAGUCCGAGUUCCGUUCAGUACCGUCCGUUAUCAUCAGUCUCCCUAAAUAUUGUCUCCUCUGAGAUAUGUACCUACAGUUACUCGAAUUUGCUCUUUCCCGAUUUUUCGUUGCAUCAACGUCAGUGCUGUUGUUGCAAAAGAUGAAACGCGGCAUCGCGAAUUCAAGUGGAUGUCAGUUAUUCCCAACUUUCAGGUGGGCAAAAUAUCAGAGAUAUUUAAAAGUGUUGUGAUUAUCUGAUAGAGGAACACGUGGGUGUGUGCGGAAUAGAAAUAUAUCAGAUUAUAAGUGUUGGAAUAGUAUAAGUACAGUGUAUGCUACUCCAGAUGCGCACUCUGGCAGCGUUACAUUACAACAUAGCUCCGAAGCCAUGGGCCUAUGUAUAUUUAUAUAAUUACGGAAACUGGCCUGUCUAUGCCCUCUGCACUAACCUAACCAUAACCUAACACCAAUGUAUGCAAGGCAUGUUCCUGAAAAGGCUAUGAGACUGAAAGACCCUUCUUAUUGAUUUAGUGUUAGAUAACACUUAAUGGCUUCGAAGGCCAGGAGAACUACACAAUAGUGCUGAUGUAGAGUUUUUCUAAAAGUGCCGUCUACUUCAAUAAAAAGCAAAGCGUCAUUGUAUACCGCAGACUUUUAUAUAUUGUAAUAUCCUGAAAAAACCGUUGGGAAAAUUCCGACGAACUACAGGUAGUGAAGAAAUGAAAGGUCCGUAACGGGCCAGGUAGGAUGGGACAUUCCAAUGGGCUAAGUGGGUCAACAACAUGGCCGCAUCCGUUUAGAAGAAUAGGCAAUCGAAAAUGGUGGACCUGACCAUCUUGGGUCACCAGCAGCUGUAAGAUACAUGUGCAUGGUAGGGGAACCGAAAACCGUGGUAUAAAAGGACGUUUUGGUGGAGAGAAUAGUCAGUUACGAGUAAGUUGCGACUAAUUGCAGACAGAAGGUAGUCGUCACACAUUAGAAAAAAAAAGGAGACACGAACAAGGUGCAUAAGGAGCUGUCCCGUUGAACAAAGAAGCAAACUCAGACAUACUACGGGUAUGUUUACAAAAUGUUCGGCAUAACGAAGAUAGCUAGUAUGAAGAGUUUGGUCGUAAUACAGUAUAUUAUCGACGGAAUUCGCGAGCAGACUAACAACAUCAUACUGUACGGCGCCAAGGAUAUUCGCAAAUUAAAAAAAAAGUUCGCUACGUACGUGAACAUGAAGGAAAACGCGAAGACGAAAGGCAAACUGGUCGAAGAAAAAUCCAAGAGGACGAGACGCGACGGAGCUAUCUACGCAGAAACAAAAAUCACCUAAGUGCGAACUGCCCAACGAAAGCAAAGUUGCCAAGCAAAAAUGCCACGAAUACGGACACGUCGCAUCACAAUUUAACAAUUGCCUCAAGAGGGUGCCUGCCACCCGGAGUGCUCGACGGGUCCGCUCUAAAGUUAAACAUAAACACCAGAUGAGUUACACCCACGACGAUAAGAUAGUUACCAGAUUGGAUAGGAAUAGAUUCCCUCCUCAAAGGAAAUAUGGACAGAAAAACACCCCCUGGACUGAGAGCUAGACUAUAAGGACCAGGCGCUUCAAGAGGCGAGUAUUCAGUCUUCAUCACGCAGUCAGUACGUCGGAAAGAUGCGACGGUGAAACGUCGAGAGGUUCCUUAGUAUCUUUGAGCGGAAACUUCGAAGAUGAACGGACCAUACCCAGAUCGUAAUCGAAUGCGGAAGCGGAAAAUCCUGAGGAUGUCCAUUCUAGAAGCAAAAUGAAGAAAUCUGAGAACCAUGGCGUCUCCGUAGAAAGAAAAGAAGCUGUUCAACCAUUCUACGUGAUUUCGAAGAUGGGCAUAAAUGGAGUGGCAGCCAAAUCGAAACGAGUUUCGAAUCGGUGACAAGAUCGUUGAGACUUGUGGACGUAGACUGUGUGGUAUGUCGAUUGUCGAAGCUAGGCACACGUUAAAAACAUGUUUGGGAACCAUAGAAUUGCAGAUAUUCGAAGAACCGACUUCAGCUUUCGGUGUAGAGCUAGGUGACACGUGGUGCGAUAUUCUUGUACGUACUAGAAACGAUUUCGAGAUGACGAUGCUGAAACAAAGGAACACGGCUAUUGUUCAUGAUUCCAUAAAUGUCGUGCAACAAGAAACUCCUUCUCAAUAUAAGAUAAUGGGUACCCUGAUGAAGAAUGGCAAGAACUUAUUCGGGAGUUUUAAGGAGCGACUGAAAAGGGAAAAUGAAGGAACUAUUAGAAAAUUUAUAUAAAAAAAAUAAAUAAUGUCACUAUGGUUGUUCGGCGGUGAUUUGCGAAAAGAUGCGUUCGCGGUAUAACGCGUCAACGAGAAUCAUAAAAUCUCGUGUCGAUACGAUAAUCGACGCACUCUCUUUACAUCCAACAACUUUUAAAUACUGGAAAGUACAUUUUGAUCCAAGAGUUGUUAACAAGUGAAGUUCGAAGACGGUGAUGUCAAGAAGGGAAACUAUUGAUGGGUCUGCCUCUGCAGCACGAGACAAGCGGAUUUGUUUAUUGCAAUCUUCGUUAAGCAAGCGAGGACAACGGUCAUUGCUGCCAAUUAGAUGAGAAAGGAACUGGUGGAUAAGGAUGGGACAGGACACAUAUCCUGUGUCUUACCAUGACGAGCAAUAGGGAGCAGCUUCCCAUGUUUUUUCGUUUUCCAUGAGUAAUGUUACGUCAUGUGACCCUAUCAUAUACUGUUACGCCACGAGGCUUAACACAGGCUGUAUUUUCUAACCGUCACUCGCGGCCCUACAAUGUCUC